CCCCGGGAGUUUUCUUGGCCCCGCUCACAAACCCAACUCUGAGUCUGAUUGGACGGCAACAAAGGGAGGCUCCGCCUAUGGUUCCAGGACAAAGCAGACAGCCCCCUCUCAGACUAGAAAGUUCAUCUGGUCCCCCCAGACUAGGCCCUCAGUGGUGGAGUUGCCGUGCUGGGGGCUGGGGUGAACUCGUAAGUCUGGGUGGAGGAGAAGGAUGGGAGCCUAGCUCAUGGGUGCUGGGAUGAAGAUUGCUGGAGACGGGCUCUUGGGUGUGGACCCCCGGAUGCCUGGGUCUUCCCCUGCCUCAGGUCCCAACAGCACCCCGGAACCCUGGCUCCCUUGGCCCUGGUGGCUUCCUGGCCCCACUGUUCCUGUCAGGCUUUGCCCCAGCUCCCAGCACUGGCUGCAGGACAGGAAAAGGCAAGAGGAAACCCAUGGACGGGAGACCAGCCCAGACCUCUCCUCUGGGGAAACCAAAACCGAGGGUCAGACCUGAGGAAAUGAACCUGAUGUAGAGACAACCAGAUAAAUCUUUAUUUGCACCUUGGCA